CUACGGGGCGCUCCAGUGGGGAAUAUUGGACAAUGGGGGAAACCCUGAUCCAGCAAUGCCGCGUGUGCGAUGAAGGCCUGCGGGUUGUAAAGCACUUUCGGUGGGGAAGAAAUGCUCAAAUAUAAUACAUUUGAGAGCUGACGUUACCCACAGAAGAAGCACCGGCAAACUCUGUGCCAGCAGCCGCGGUAAUACAGAGGGUGCAAGCGUUAAUCGGAGUUACUGGGCGUAAAGGGCGCGUAGGCGGACAUUUAAGUCAAUUGUGAAAUCCCUGGGCUCAACCUAGGAAUUGCAGUUGAUACUGGGUGUCUCGAGUAUGGUAGAGGAAAGCGGAAUUCUCGGUGUAGUGGUUAAAUACGUAGAUAUCGAGAAGAACAUCAGUGGCGAAGGCGGCUUUCUGGACCAAUACUGACGCUGAGGCGCGAAAGCGUGGGGAGCAAACAGGAUUAGAUACCCCAGUAGUC
rnacentral:rRNA from 1 species